UCUAAGCAAAAUAAAAUAUUCUUUUAUAAAGUAAAACAAAAGAAACGCGGGAGAGAACUAUAUACUCUUUUUAGCAAAUAAGAAGUUAUGACAUUUCAAAAUCGGUAAAAGAAACACAAUAUAUUCGUAUGUGAUAAAUUUUAUAAAAUAAAACACUUUUUACUUACCAUGCAGAAGAACUUCACGUCGGCGUUACGCCCGCGCACGAAAACAAUCUAGAGAUGUACACCAAAAAAUCCGUAAGCGUGUGUCCGUGAUCCUGUUUAUCAGGAAAGGUCUUUGAAACGAAACUUUGUCGUUUCUCUUUGUCUGGUUACCUUAGAUAUGGAUAGAUAACCGGAAAAUAGAAAAACCUCACACGCGUAGUCCUGCGGUAGAGAAUAAAAAAAGAAUAUUACACGAUAAAUCGAAGUCAAGUGCAAUACACACACGAACAACCGCACGGCGCGCGGGUUCAGCGGCCGACUGAAAGGAUGCAGUCGCCUUUGGUCCGCCAUGGUCCGCUCACGGACCCCUGUGGCCCCUCGUGGUCCGGCCAACUCCCCACCAUACAACGAUACAGAGACAAAGCAGCUGCGCGCGCACCUACACAUUUUUUGACCCUCCGCCAUUCUCCCUUCCCUCUUGUCCCCACUCCAGCAUGCUUAGGCUCGAUUCACCGCGUACCUAAGUUUCUUUAUUCGUACACACAGGCAUACUGCCUAGUGAUAGGGUUGAUGCAGGAGGAAUUUGUAUUUUCAAGACUCGUCAUAGGCCUGUUUACACCCUGUGAGAAAGAGAGACUAUUACCGGUCUGGUAGCUUAUAUCGACGUAGGAAAAAGUAUAUACCGGCCGAUCCUAUUGCACUGGCAAAAUUGAAGUAACCGCAUUGUAUUUCGACGGACCAUUAGUAAUAAAAAACAUAUAUAUGAUAACAAUCUUUUAAUAUCUUCUGAUAACAUAUUACUUAUGCAAUAGAAAAUGCAUUUAAAAUAUGAAUUUUUUCCAUGAAAACUGUACAAAUUAUUUUACUUACUAAAUAGUAACGAAACUAAGCAUAAGAUUAUUAUUUAAUUUUUUGAUUGAUACAAUAAUAAAUUAUAAAAUUUUAUUCAUUGUACAAAUAUUCAUUAUGUUAUUAUUACUAUACUUUACAAUUACUUUUACUAAAAUAACAUAAAAAAUAUAUCAAUAGUAUAUACUAUAUAUAUUUAAAUGAUAAAUUAUAAAAAAGAAGAAUUUCAUUAGAAAACACAAUAUAUUUUCUUUCAUUUAAAUAAACGAAUCAUUUUUUUUUAAAAA